rnacentral:sRNA from 12 species
UCCCUCCCAGACCAACGGAAACCCGUCCUGUGCUCACGCGAGCGGGAAGGCGAGACGAAGCCCCAACACGGGGCUAGGCGGUAACGGCAGACCUGGGCGCCUUCGAGUCUCGCG